AUGCUACUCCCUCCGCUUCGAAUUACUUGUGCAGAUAUGGAUGUGUCUAGAUAUAUUUUAGUUCUAGAUACAUCCAUUUCUACGAUGAGUAAUUUGAAACGGAAGGAGUACGUG
rnacentral:pre_miRNA from 1 species